GCUAGGGGGUCAUCCCGACUUACCAACCCUUUGCAAACUCCGAAUACCAAUGAGUGAUAUGCGGGAGACACACUACGGGUGCUAACGUCCGUUGUGAAGAGGGAAACAACCCAGACCGCCAGCUAAGGUCCCAAAGUACUAGUUAAGUGGGAAACGAUGUGGAAAGGCAUAGACAGCUAGGAGGUUGGCUUAGAAGCAGCCAUCCUUUAAAGAAAGCGUAAUAGCUCACUAGUCGAGUCGGUCUGCGCGGAAGAUGUAACGGGGCUAAACUAGUCACCGAAGCUGCGGAUUUGAACUUAGGUUCAAGUGGUAGGGGAGCGUUCUGUAAGCCGUUGAAGGUGUGUUGUAAAGCAUGCUGGAGGUAUCAGAAGUGCGAAUGCUGACAUGAGUAACGAUAAGGGGAGUGAAAAACUCCCCCGCCGAAAGACCAAGGUUUCCUGUCCCAUGUUAAUCAGGGCAGGGUAAGUCGGCCCCUAAGGCGAGGCGGAAACGCGUAGUCGAUGGGAAACAGAUUAAUAUUUCUGUACUUCUAUAUAUUGCGAAGGAGGGACGGAGUAGGCUAGGUGAGCACGGCGUUGGUAGUCCGUGUGAAAGUACGUAGGUGGUUAACUUAGGUAAAUCCGGGUUUUCAUUCAACACUGAGAUACGAGACGAGACUCUACGGAGUUGAAGUCAUUGAUGCCAUGCUUCCAGGAAAAGCUUCUAAGCUUCAGAUAUAUAGGAACCGUACCCCAAACCGACACAGGUGGUUAGGUAGAGAAUACUAAGGCGCUUGAGAGAACUCGGGUGAAGGAACUAGGCAAAAUAGUACCGUAACUUCGGGAGAAGGUACGCUACUCAUGGUGAUGGAACUUGCUUCCUAAGCUAAGAGUAGUCGAAGUAACCAGGUGGCUGGAACUGUUUAUUAAAAACACAGCACUGUGCAAAAUCGAAAGAUGACGUAUACGGUGUGACGCCUGCCCGGUGCCGGAAGGUUAAUUGAUUGGGUUAGCUCUGCGAAGCUCAUGAUCGAAGCCCCGGUAAACGGCGGCCGUAACUAUAACGGUCCUAAGGUAGCGAAAUUCCUUGUCGGGUAAGUUCCGACCUGCACGAAUGGCGUAAUCAUGGCCACACUGUCUCCACCCGAGACUCAGUGAAAUUGAAAUUGCGGUUAAGAUGCCGUAUACCCGCGGCUAGACGGAAAGACCCCGUGAACCUUUACUAUAGCUUGACAGUGAACAUUGCUCCUACAUGUGUAGGAUAGGUGGGAGGCUUUGAAACCGCGUCGCUAGAUGCGGUGGAGCCAACCUUGAAAUACCACCCUUGUAUGCGUGAUGUUCUAACCUAGGGCCCUUAUCGGGCUUGGGGACACUGUCUGGUGGGUAGUUUGACUGGGGCGGUCUCCUCCCAAAGAGUAACGGAGGAGCACGAAGGUUGGCUAAGUACGGUCGGACAUCGUACGGUUAGUGCAAUGGCAUAAGCCAGCUUAACUGCGAGACAGACACGUCGAGCAGGUACGAAAGUAGGUCAUAGUGAUCCGGUGGUUCUGUAUGGAAGGGCCAUCGCUCAACGGAUAAAAGGUACUCCGGGGAUAACAGGCUGAUACCGCCCAAGAGUUCAUAUCGACGGCGGUGUUUGGCACCUCGAUG
rnacentral:rRNA from 1 species